rnacentral:rRNA from 1 species
GAGCGGACAGAUGGGAGCUUGCUCCCUGAUGUUAGCGGCGGACGGGUGAGUAACACGUGGGUAACCUGCCUGUAAGACUGGGAUAACUCCGGGAAACCGGGGCUAAUACCGGAUGGUUGUUUGAACCGCAUGGUUCAAACAUAAAAGGUGGCUUCGGCUACCACUUACAGAUGGACCCGCGGCGCAUUAGCUAGUUGGUGAGGUAACGGCUCACCAAGGCAACGAUGC